CUAGCGAGACGUGCCCGGGUAAUAAAACCGGAGGAAGUGGGGAUGAACGUCAAAUCAUCAUGCCCCUUAUGACCUGGGCUACACACGUGCUACAAUGGUUGGUACAACGAGUUGCGAGUCGGUGACGGCGAGCUAAUCUCUUAAAGCCAAUCUCAGUUCGGAUUGUAGGCUGCAACUCGCCUACAUGAAGUCGGAAUCGCUAGUAAUCGCGGAUCAGCACGCCGCGGUGAAUACGGUUCCCGGGCCUU
rnacentral:rRNA from 1 species